CGACUGGUAUAGAGUUUGAAUUUCACUAGAAGAAGAAAUGGAAGAACAAGAUAGACGAGUGGAUCCACCCCAUUGUUUCGACCACCACCACCGCCAAGAAUGCAGUUAUUGGAUGAUAUACAACUAUUCUCACCAUCGCGACGAUGAAUGUAAGUGUUUUUCAAGAGAAAUAUGCACAUGAAAUAGACAUUGACUAUGUUGAAUGCUAAUUUCCUUUGUGUUUCAGGAACAAAAUGGUGAUGUGCGAAUAUGGAAAUGGCAAGGCAAUAGAGAGACUUGAUGGGGAUAUUUUUUUGCUUGGACUGAGAUAUUUUUUUGUAAGUAAUUUGUAUGAACUUUGAUUGCUUGAAUGGAGAUGAACUAUGAACUUGGAUGAACUUUGUAUUUCGAGUAUGAACUUGGAUGAA